AUUAGGUUUGAUUCUGGUCUUUGAAAUUAGCUUUAUUUAUAAUAUUAUAUAUAAAUUUUUGUGUGAAUUAUUUUUCUAAAUGAUUAAUUGAUUUCUUUAAUUUUAGUUUUUAAUUUUAGUUUUAAUAGUUUGUAUAUCUACAAAUCUAGUUAUUAUUUAAUUUGAAUAGUAAAAUGUUGUGCCAGCAUUCGCGGUUACACAAUUUAUUCUAGUUAAUUUAUUUUGAUUAAUAUUUUUUAUUUAUGUUAAAGAUUAAUUUUUUUCUGUUAGGUGAAAUUUUAGUUUAUAUAUAAUCUUUUGGUUUAUUAUUAUAUGAAAUUCAGGAUUUAAACUAGGAUUAGAUACCCUAUUAUACUGAAUGUAAAUUUGAAUCAUGUUAUUAUUAGUUAAGAUCUUUAAAAUAAAAGGAUUUGGCGGUAAUUUAGUCUUUUUAGAGGAACCUGUUUAGUAAUCGAUGAUCCACGUUGGAUUUUACUUUUAUUUUUUGUUUGUAUAUCUCUGUCGUUGAAUGUUUUUUUAGGAUAUUUUCUAAUUUUUAUUAAUGUAAUUUAUGUCAGGUCAAGGUGCAGCAAUAUAAAAGGUUUAAUGGGUUACAUUUAAUGUUAUUUAUUGGAUUUUAAUCUUGAAUUUUUAAGUUAAAAUAAAAAGGAUUUAAAGGUAAUUUUUAUUAUUUUAUAAAAAUGAUUAUAGCUCUAAAUUAUGUACACAUCGCCCGUCACUUUCAUUAUUAAGGUGAAAUAAGUCGUAACAAAGUAAUUUUACUGGAAAGUGGAGUUGGAAUUAU
rnacentral:ncRNA from 1 species